AUUGAACGCUGGCGGCAUGCCUUACACAUGCAAGUCGAACGGUAACAGGUCUUCGGAUGCUGACGAGUGGCGAACGGGUGAGUAAUACAUCGGAACGUGCCCGAGAGUGGGGGAUAACGAGGCGAAGGCUUUGCUAAUACCGCAUACGAUCUCAGGAUGAAAGCAGGGGACCGCAAGGCCUUGCGCUCACGGAGCGGCCGAUGGCAGAUUAGGUAGUUGGUGGGAUAAAAGCUUACCAAGCCGACGAUCUGUAGCUGGUCUGAGAGGACGACCAGCCACACUGGGACUGAGACACGGCCCAGACUCCUACGGGAGGCAGCAGUGGGGAAUUUUGGACAAUGGGCGCAAGCCUGAUCCAGCCAUGCCGCGUGCAGGAUGAAGGCCUUCGGGUUGUAAACUGCUUUUGUACGGAACGAAAAGACUCUGGUUAAUACCUGGGGUCCAUGACGGUACCGUAAGAAUAAGCACCGGCUAACUACGUGCCAGCAGCCGCGGUAAUAC
rnacentral:rRNA from 1 species